UCCGUGUGAUUAGUAUACAUUAUGUUCUGCCAAGGCAAGCAUGAAUCAUUAAUAUAUUCAGAGUCCUCCGCUCUCUGCAAUGAAACAUAAUAACUCAGCGCUGAGUAAUGCAGUGUGCUGUGUUUAUAAGACGUGAAGCCUUCAGUUAGGGUGAUCUACAAUGUUGUUAUUUUGUGAUUCAUAAAAUAAAAUAGUACCCUCUGGUGAGCUUCCCUCCAGCAAGUCUAGAAGUCCAAAAAGGACAGGGAGUUGAGUUCAAUCAAGUGAUGAAGAUGACGAUGAUGUUAUGAUGAUGACAACCCCAGCAGGCCGGCACAUAAUGGAAAGUGUGCCCUUUUAUGUUUUCCUGGACACUAAGCCGAGAAGAACCCAGCGGGAUGGAGAU